CUGUGAUUCAAACGGUUGGAUGCACCAACAGCUAAUAUUAGUGAAGUGUUUCAAGAUCAUCCUGUUUUUUUUUGGUUUGUUUUUUUUUUCAUGGCCUCCAAAUUUAUGCAGCAUCACUUCAUUGGGGCCCAGGUAGAAAAUUUAAAGUUUGUUAAUGGGCGAACAAUAGUGAAAAUUUAUUCUGUCUUUUCACAAAUAUAAUUAAGAUGGAAGCAAGGCUUGACACAGAAAUUGUCCACCAAAGGACAGAGAUGAAACUGAAAACAGCUGGAGUACUAUUUUUCAUGCUGGGUGACAAUGCAAUCUGUAAGUGAAAGAAAAGGGAAAUACUGAGUGUGACUGGGUGUGGUUUCUAAGGGAAAGCAGCCUCCCACAGGGAUUUGCAGUUAUUGCACAAAGACAACAUCGACACCAUGGCUAAAACCUCCAGAAAUGCAGGACCAGGGACCAACCUGCACAUUCCUCUGCUGAACUUCAGCCACGCUCUGCAUCCACAACAGCUCUUUCACAGCUGUGAUCCCACCAUGGACUGCGGACACACAGACAUCUUUAGCUGUGGAGCUUCGUCAUUCUUCUCAAGAGUUGUCUUCAGAGAAGAAAUGGAAAUGAAAACAUUACCUGUGGAUCCCCAGACUGGAGCUGCCUGGACUCUGCAGAGUAUAAAGGAGAAGGAGCCAGUCACUCCGAGAGAAGAGAGCCCACGAUUUGCAGGAUGGAGGGUGGAUUUCCCUAAGCUGACCCUGCAUUCUCCAGGUGCCUGCCUUCAGCUUCCUCUAGGUUUGAGCUGGGUUUAGAUUUGGCUUCUGUUUCUGGUGAUGAGUGUAGCAGGAGGUCACAGGUGGCUGGGUGGUCCUGCCUGGGAUGUCAGACACAUCCCCACUUACCUUCUGCUCCCAAGCAGGAGGGAGAAGUCUGCCAGGGAGCUUUUAUUGCAACGUGCUGGGCUGCCAGGGUGCUCUCCCCGUGCCAGGGGUGAUGAUUUCCAGCAGCUGGUGCCAGCUGUGGGUGGAAUGUGCCCUAAGGAAGCUCCAAGUCCCAAUCCCAGGGCUGAGCACAGGCAGGGAGUGAGGGAGGCUCCAGCUCAGAGCCCAGCUUGUCCUGCAGGGCCAGCUCUGGGACAGGAGCUGGAAAUGACACUGGGCUGUCCCACUAGGACAGCAUUUCCAGAGGCUGAUACCACCAAGCACCAGUGUGGAAAUCAACUUCCCUGCCUUGGGAGCGAGGGAGAGGGUAAGGAGGUGUUUUAGGAGGAAAAUGUGCUCACGUGCCCGGGGGUUUUGGCAAACUUGAAAGCCUCACUUCAGCAGCAAAAAGAAAACACAACUCUGCCCACGUGGAGCUCCCCACUGUGGAUGGAGCUGUCAAAAUACUUCCCACAGCUGAGACCUGGAGGACAGGCAAACACUGUUGCUGCUGAGACCAUUCCUGGAACAAAUAAUGUGCUGUGUUUUGCAGUUACAGUAAUUACAAACAUCAAACAUCCUGCAAACAUCUUGCAUUUCUUUUCCUUCCGCAGAUUUUCCAAACUGUAAAUGUCGAAUAAGCAGAUAACUCCUCAGAUGUAAAUCUGGGAGCUUUGUUGGCAUCUGUUUGUAGUUUUACAAGGAUAAGUUCGUUUAUGGAGGCUGAAGAGGAGAUGAAUGUGGAGGGAAAGCUGGGUAAAUCUGCAACUGAUGCUUUUCCUCAGCACAGAACGGAUGGAACAAAGGAUGUUCUGUCAUUGUGGUCAGAGGCUUUUUGAUUGCUGGGUUUGGAGCAUGGAUAAGGGCUACAGCCAGACAAAAUUUCAGCCCUAGGAUUUAGCUGCAGCCUUUGCUGUUCUGCCUUGGGUGCCAUCUAGAUUAAUUCUAAAACUGUUUUUUCCUGCAUGACACAGAUCUCAGGAGCAGAUUCCCUUGGGUUUUCAGUCAGUCUGUGUCCAAACAGUGUCUCCAAAAUUUUGGGUGAUGAGUUCAAAAUAUUCUUAUGCCUAGUUCCAGUGGUUAUUUUUGUGAUUAUUCAAUAUGAAAUGUCCUCAAGUGUCAGAUUUCCAGAGGGGUUAAAUACUCACAACUCAAAUGAUUCAGUAUCUCUAAAAUACUGUUAUAAAACCAUAGGAAGAUCAUAUUAAACCUAGAGAUAUUCAGCAAGACAUUUCUGAGCUAACUACCCAUCAUGCCUUCUAAUAAAGAAAGGCUUUUAGACCAACUUCAACCAAGUGUAUUACCUAAUUUCACAGGGAACUGAAACAUUUGUCACAAUGUGGAAAAAAAUGGGGAGCAUUUAGAGGUGAAGUUGAUUUUCAGUGUGUCUGUUAAAAUUUUCUUUCCCCUGAUUGUUAACCUAAGAGCACUUGAGCACUGUACAGCAGUGUCCUAGCUCACUUAACACCAUUUUCUCAUAGGGUAGAAAUUAACCCAAGCAUAAGUUUAAAUAUUCCAAAAAUAACGUAAGUACCAUGAUAUCAGCCACUCACUGUUUUAUUGAGUUUGAUUCCCAGUGUCUCCAAUUGUGCACCCUGGUUUUCAGGAGCAGUGGGUUUUGUCCUUGUUUCUCUGCAAGCUGUCCAGGUGUGCCCCUUGACUUCUUGCUGGGUCACCUCGAGCAGUAACUAGAAGUUUCCAACAGUUAAAACGCCAUGAAAUCAGAUAUAAAUGUUUGCAUCUUUAGGCGGGAAUCCCCACAGCACAAAUAUGUUUGCACUGCUCAUUUAUGUUUGUGAUUAUGUAAGUACAUGCAGAAAUAGCAGGGAUGUAUUUGAUAGAAUCACAGAAUGGCUUGGGCUGGAAGAAACCUUUGCCAUCAUCCAGUUCCACCCCCUGCCCUGGGCAGGGACAUCUCCCACUGUCCCAGGGUGCUCAGAGCCCCAUCCAGCCUGGCUUUGGGCACUGCCAGGGAUCCAGGGGCAGCCACAGCUGCUCUAGGCACCUGCACCAGGGCCUGCCCACCCUGCCAGGGAAGAAUUUCGUCCCAAUAUCCCAUCCAAAGGCACUCCGUGUCAGUGUGAAGCUGCUCCCCCUGUCCUGUCACCCAGGCCCUUGUGAAUAGUCCCUCUGCACCCUGCAGGCUCCCCUCAGGUACGGGAAGGACACAGAGCUCACCCCAAAGCUGCCUCUUCUCCAGCAGAGCUGCUCCAUCCCUCGGUGCCUGCCCUGGGCUCCCCUCCUCUGCUGGGUCCUGGGCUGAGUCUCGCUGGGGGGAGCAGAGGGCACAGCCCCCUCCCUUCAUAUACUGGAAAGCUAAGGAAGAAAACGGAUUUUGUGAAUAUUUUACUGCCUCAUCCAUCUAACACCAAGAGUUAAUUUCCUGAAGUUUCCUUAAUCCCAGAAUUUUCCAGUCUGUUCUAGAUGUUUGAAGGAUUACAGCUCAGAUGUCACUACUCAGAAGUUGUAUCAGCACAUGGGUGUUUCCCCUCUUCAUUCCAGCCAUGCAUACUUCUAUUCUUUGCAUGACUGCAUUUUUUCAGUAAUUCUGACUGUUCUGAGGCGUCAGGUGCUUUCAGUUCCCUCAUUUUAGCAACUGAAGAAUUUUUUUGGACAUGACGCCAGAGAAUAGUCAAAAAAUAUUUGAAUUCCCUGUCAUUAAGAUUUUCUUACAGGAAAAGUAAGCAUAGCUGGUAAAAUGCAUAGAAGUAAAAUUUAAUUUAAUUUGAUUUCUUGUCAUCUCCAUAUAUUAUAUUUUCCUUUUCUCUUGCUGCUUCACUCCCACCUAUUCUCAUAAUCUGCAAAUUACUUUAGAUUGAGAUAUUUCCUGUGUGUUAACUGCAUUUCAUUGGCUGCCAAUUCAGUUCUCUGUUUCUGCACUUGCAUUUGUAUUUAGGAAACACGAUGAAAAUUAAUAUCAUAAUUGUACCAUUCAAGCAAAUCACAUGAAUUAAAUCUGUGUCUAGCCAGCCAAAAA